CCAGUACCGUGAGGGAAAGGUGAAAAGUACCCCGGAAGGGGAGUGAAAGAGAACUUGAAACCGUGUGCUUACAAGUAGUCAGAGCCCGUUAAUGGGUGAUGGCGUGCCUUUUGUAGAAUGAACCGGCGAGUUACGAUCUGAUGCAAGGUUAAGCAGAAAAUGUGGAGCCGUAGCGAAAGCGAGUCUGAAUAGGGCGAAUGAGUAUUUGGUCGUAGACCCGAAACCAGGUGAUCUACCCUUGGUCAGGUUGAAGUUCAGGUAACACUGAAUGGAGGACCGAACCGACUUACGUUGAAAAGUGAGCGGAUGAACUGAGGGUAGCGGAGAAAUUCCAAUCGAACUUGGAGAUAGCUGGUUCUCUCCGAAAUAGCUUUAGGGCUAGCCUCAAGUGAUGAUUAUUGGAGGUAGAGCACUGUUUGGACGAGGGGCCCCUCUCGGGUUACCGAAUUCAGACAAACUCCGAAUGCCAAAUAAUUUAACUUGGGAGUCAGAAUGUGGGUGAUAAGGUCCAUAUUCGAAAGGGAAACAGCCCAGACCACCAGCUAAGGUCCCAAAAUAUAUGUUAAGUGGAAAAGGAUGUGGCGUUGCCCAGACAACUAGGAUGUUGGCUUAGAAGCAGCCAUCAUUUAAAGAGUGCGUAAUAGCUCACUAGUCGAGUGACACUGCGCCGAAAAUGUACCGGGGCUAAACAUAU
rnacentral:rRNA from 1 species